GGAGCCUUCCAACGGGGAGUGGGACGUGAUUCUAGCAUCAGUUUGUCAAGAAGCACGGUGCGCAGACUUUAGCGCAAAUUAUGUGCCUCUUAGAGAACCACAUUUGCGGCCAAUGGGUAAAGUUAUCUAUGGAUGAAAAUGAAAAGUUGAGGUCAAGAAAUCACUUCUUUGGAAAGUAGAAAAUACCCGGAAUAUUCGGUUGCAUAGAUGGUACGCAUGUAAAAAUAAUAAAGCCACCUAACAACGAGCAUUUGUAUUUUAACCGAAAGGGAUAUUUUAGUAUAAAUGCGAUGAUAAUUUGUGACAACGAAAUGCAAAUACGAGCAGUAGAUGCGCGGUAUCCCGGUUCAAGUCACGAUGCUUUUAUUUGGAGCAUAAGCGAUGCAAAACAAUAUUUUCGUGCACAAUACGAGAGGUGAUCGUUCAUCAAGGUUGCUGGGUGAUUGUGGGUAUGGAAUUGAACCAUAUUUACUAACACCUUAUAGAGAUGCGCGGUUUAACUCUAAGGAGCACAAGUUUAAUAUGGCUCAUGCAUCUGCGCGAAAUAUUGUAGAACGGACAAUCGGAGUGCUGAAAAGCCGUUUUCGCUGUUUGCUAAGUACAUUGCAUUACCGUCCUGAAAAAGUGGUUAAAAUUGCGAACGUUUGUUGCGCCCUACACACCAUCUGCAGCCAUUAUAAAAUUGAAUGUAAUCUAGAAGAGAACGUAUUUUUCAAGUGCACCUAAUGAGGACAAUGAAUUUUCAUCGGAUAGUGGAACAAUGCAAAGCGAAGGCCGUAGAAUAAGAGACGAAAUUGCCAAUACCUUGUAAUUCAAGUAAUUUAUUAAUUAUUUAACUUUUUUCUACGAACAUAUAUUUAAAAAUAAAAGUCUUCAUGACUAAAUGAAAA